AAUGAACGCUGGCGGCGUGCCUGAUACAUGCAAGUCGAGCGCGAAAGCGGCCUUCGGGCCGCCGGUAGAGCGGCGAACGGGUGAGUAACACGUGGGUAACCUGCCCUGGAGAGGGGAAUAACUCGGGGAAACCUGAGCUAAUGCCGCAUGAGCUCGCCGGCCCUUCGGAGCCGGCGAGGAAAGGUGGCCUAUUCUUGAAAGCUGCCACUCCAGGAGGGGCCCGCGUCCGAUUAGCUGGUUGGUGGGGUAACGGCUCACCAAGGCGACGAUCGGUAGCCGGCCUGAGAGGGUGAUCGGCCACACUGGAACUGAGACACGGUCCAGACCGCUACGGUGGGCAGCAGUACGGGAUAUUGCGCAAUGGGCGAAAGCC
rnacentral:rRNA from 1 species